rnacentral:rRNA from 1 species
UACGUAGGGAGCAAGCGUUGUCCGGAAUCAUUGGGCGUAAAGCGCGCGUAGGUGGCCUCAUAAGUCCGCUGUGAAAGUCAAAGGCUCAACCUUUGAAAGCCGGUGGAUACUGUGAGGCUAGAGUACGGAAGAGGCGAGUGGAAUUCCCGGUGUAGCGGUGAAAUGCGCAGAUAUCGGGAAGAACACCCGUGGCGAAGGCGGCUCUCUGGGACGGUACUGACGCUGAGACGCGAAAGCGUGGGGAGCGAACAGG